AAGUGAGAAUGCCGGUGUGAGUAGCGAAAGACGGGUGAGAAUCCCGUCCACCGAUUGACUAAGGUUUCCAGAGGAAGGCUCGUCCGCUCUGGGUUAGUCGGGUCCUAAGCUGAGGCCGACAGGCGUAGGCGAUGGAUAACAGGUUGAUAUUCCUGUACCACCUAUAAUCGUUUUAAUCGAUGGGGGGACGCAGUAGGAUAGGCGAAGCGUGCGAUUGGAUUGCACGUCUAAGCAGUAAGGCUGAGUAUUAGGCAAAUCCGGUACUCGUUAAGGCUGAGCUGUGAUGGGGAGAAGACAUUGUGUCUUCGAGUCGUUGAUUUCACACUGCCGAGAAAAGCCUCUAGAUAGAAAAUAGGUGCCCGUACCGCAAACCGACACAGGUAGUCAAGAUGAGAAUUCUAAGGUGAGCGAGCGAACUCUCGUUAAGGAACUCGGCAAAAUGACCCCGUAACUUCGGGAGAAGGGGUGCUCUUUAGGGUUAACGCCCAGAAGAGCCGCAGUGAAUAGGCCCAAGCGACUGUUUAUCAAAAACACAGGUCUCUGCUAAACCGUAAGGUGAUGUAUAGGGGCUGACGCCUGCCCGGUGCUGGAAGGUUAAGAGGAGUGGUUAGCUUCUGCGAAGCUACGAAUCGAAGCCCCAGUAAACGGCGGCCGUAACUAUAACGGUCCUAAGGUAGCGAAAUUCCUUGUCGGGUAAGUUCCGACCCGCACGAAAGGCGUAACGAUUUGGGCACUGUCUCAACGAGAGACUCGGUGAAAUCAUAGUACCUGUGAAGAUGCAGGUUACCCGCGACAGGACGGAAAGACCCCGUGGAGCUUUACUGUAGCCUGAUAUUGAAAUUCGGCACAGCUUGUACAGGAUAGGUAGGAGCCUUUGAAACGUGAGCGCUAGCUUACGUGGAGGCGCUGGUGGGAUACUACCCUAGCUGUGUUGGCUUUCUAACCCGCACCACUUAUCGUGGUGGGAGACAGUGUCAGGCGGGCAGUUUGACUGGGGCGGUCGCCUCCUAAAAGGUAACGGAGGCGCUCAAAGGUUCCCUCAGAAUGGUUGGAAAUCAUUCAUAGAGUGUAAAGGCAUAAGGGAGCUUGACUGCGAGACCUACAAGUCGAGCAGGGUCGAAAGACGGACUUAGUGAUCCGGUGGUUCCGCAUGGAAGGGCCAUCGCUCAACGGAUAAAAGCUACCCCGGGGAUAACAGGCUUAUCUCCCCCAAGAGUUCACAUCGACGGGGAGGUUUGGCACCUCGAUGUCGGCUCAUCGCAUCCUGGGGCUGUAGUCGGUCCCAAGGGUUGGGCUGUUCGCCCAUUAAAGCGGUACGCGAGCUGGGUUCAGAACGUCGUGAGACAGUUCGGUCCCUAUCCGUCGUGGGCGUAGGAAAUUUGAGAGGAGCUGUCCUUAGUACGAGAGGACCGGGAUGGACAUACCUCUGGUGUACCAGUUGUCGUGCCAACGGCAUAGCUGGGUAGCUAUGUGUGGACGGGAUAAGUGC
rnacentral:rRNA from 1 species